rnacentral:rRNA from 1 species
UACAGAGGUGGCAAGCGUUGUUCGGAAUUACUGGGCGUAAAGGGCGCGUAGGUGGCCAUCUAAGUCAGACGUGAAAUCCCCCGGCUUAACCGGGGAACUGCAUCUGAUACUGGAUGGCUUGAGUUCGGGAGAGGGAUGCGGAAUUCCAGGUGUAGCGGUGAAAUGCGUAGAUAUCUGGAGGAACACCGGUGGCGAAGGCGGCAUCCUGGACCGACACUGACGCUGAGGAGCGAAAGCCAGGGGAGCAAACGGG